GACGAACGCUGGCGGCGUGCUUAACACAUGCAAGUCGAACGGAAAGGCCCUGCUUUUGUCGGGUGCUCGAGUGGCGAACGGGUGAGUAACACGUGAGUAACCUGCCCUUGACUUUGGGAUAACUUCAGGAAACUGGGGCUAAUACCGGAUAGGAGCUCCUGCUGCAUGGUGGGGGUUGGAAAGUUUCGGCGGUUGGGGAUGGACUCGCGGCUUAUCAGCUUGUUGGUGGGGUAGUGGCUUACCAAGGCUUUGACGGGUAGCCGGCCUGAGAGGGUGACCGGCCACAUUGGGACUGAGAUACGGCCCAGACCCCUACGGGAGGCAGCAGUGGGGAAUAUUGCACAAUGGGCGGAAGCCUGAUGCAGCAACGCCGCGUGCGGGAUGACGGCCUUCGGGUUGUAAACCGCUUUCGCCUGUGACGAAGCGUGAGUGACGGUAAUGGGUAAAGAAGCACCGGCUAACUACGUG
rnacentral:rRNA from 1 species